rnacentral:miRNA from 1 species
UGAAUUCUUAUGUGAGCUUUGC